rnacentral:pre_miRNA from 2 species
GAGCUACUCCCUCCGUUCGAAAAUACUUGUUUUAGAAUGGAUGUAUCUAAAUAUAUUUUAGUUAUCGAUACAUUCAUUUAUAUAUAUUUAUGCGACAAGUAAUUUUGGAUGAAGGAAGUAUAUA